rnacentral:rRNA from 1 species
UAUUGGUCAAUGGAUGGAAGUCUGAACCAGCCAUGCCGCGUGCAGGAAGACGGCCUUCUGGGUUGUAAACUGCUUUUGCCAGGGGCUAAAAAGCUCAUGCGUGAGAAAUUGAAAGUACCUGGUGAAUAAGCCACGGCUAACUACGUGCCAGCAGCCGCGGUAAUACGUAGGUGGCAAGCGUUGUCCGGAUUUAUUGGGUUUAAAGGGUGCGUAGGCGGCUUUGUAAGUCAGUGGUGAAAUAUGGCAGCUCAACUGUCAGGGUGCCAUUGAUACUGCGGAGCUUGAGUACAGAUGAGGUAGGCGGAAUUGACGGUGUAGCGGUGAAAUGCUUAGAUAUCGUCAAGAACACCGAUAGCGAAGGCAGCUUACUAGGCUGUAACUGACGCUGAGGCACGAAAGUGUGGGGAUCAAACAG